rnacentral:tRNA from 1 species
UCCCGGAUGUCGAAACUGGUAGCCGAGUCCGACUGUUAAUCGGAAGCCGCAAGGCACUGUAGGUUCAAAUCCUACUCCGGGAGCCC